AUUGGGGUGCCCGGGGUGACAGCCACAUGGUAACCGUGCAUCUGCUCAUCCCUGUUUUGGUUUGAGAAAGGCAGUGCUGGGAGUGCCCCAAGGUUGGAUGGUUGGUCCCACCACCUAAACUAUGAUGGAACCACACCCCCUGGAAUGUGUGAAGUCCAGUUUCUCACAGCUUUGUGUGUGAAGACACCCAAGACAGACUUUUGAUGGCCAGUGACUAACUCAGAGGUCAUGGGAAAUUUAUUAUCUCCAGGACUUGUAUCUACUGCCAAACUGGGUCUGAUCAUAGUGCUGAAAUAAUUACCAGAGUGGAUGCACAUACAGUGCCAUUACAUUCACCUUGUUUCCUGACACAAUAAAACAUCCUUAACAUCUCA